ensembl:lncRNA
CUGUACAGUUCUAGAAAUUUCCAUAAAAGUUUGUGGAUCAAGGACUCUUCUUUCUGAAGAUACCUAGAAGAAUAGAGUUGGUCUUCUCCUAAGACCAUUUUCUACAGCCUUGGAUGGCAAGCUGAAAAAUGGCUCCCUGGGAUAGCUACGUCCCAACCUUUGGAACCUCUGAAUAUGCAGCCUUGCAUGGCAAAAGGGACUUUGCAGAUGGGAUUAAGUCAAUGAUCUUGAGAAGAGGAGUGAUAUGGUUUGGCUCUUGUUCCCACCCAAAUCUCAUCUUGUAGCUCCCAUAAUUCUGUGUUGUGGGAGAAGAUUGACUCAUGGGGGCGGGUCUUUCCUGUGCUGUUCUCGCAAGAGGGAACGGGUCUCAUGAGGUCAGAUGGUUUUAAAAACAAGUUUCUCUGCACAAACCUCUCUUUGCCAGCUGCCGUCCACAUGGGAUGUGACUUCCUCCUCUUUGCUUUCUGCCAUGAUCGUGAGGCCUCCCAGCCAUGUGGAACUUCCCAACAGGAAACAAGAAACUACUGAUGGACGCACAACCAGCCAAACUGGUUGCCAAGAAAAUGCGGCAUCUUCCAUACGCAUCCGACCUUCUGUUUACUAAACGUAAGGCUCCAGCAACCCGGCAAAGUACGUGGUUUGACUCAACAUUUACCCAAAAUUCACUUAAGAACAAACAUUUUCCUCCCUUUCGGGAACCUCAAUUGGCAUCUCAUGGAACACACUUGGGGAAAUCCUAGACUAGCCCUGUCUGACCUUCUCACUAUUAACUGACAUUUCCUCCAGGCAAAGAGAUGACUAGAAUCAGACACCAGCUUUUAUGCCUUCAGAGCUGAGUUCUUCCUAUUGUUGUCUGCUCUUUUCUUCCUUCUCCAAGUAAAUCACAGGAUCAUCAGAAACCCUAUUGAAGCCUCCCUCGGACUGCACUGUGAUCUUUAUCUUCAAAGCCAUCCUGCUAGGGCUCCCGCUUGAAAUUUGCAUGACAGCUGAAGGAAAAUAAAUUGGGGGGCUGGCUCCCUUUGAUAACCAAAUGAUCCUCUUUCUUUCUUUGUUCUGAAGGUACAACUCUAAAAGGAAUUCAGUGAUGAGGAAAAUAAUUCUAUAGUAUUUAGCUCUGUGCAGUCACCGUGACUGGCUUGAGCAUUUGAUUAAAAUAGGAAUCCUGUGGCUCCUGUCUUCAACCGAGGUCAAUUAUUAAAUGACUGGACUGCAAGUUUCAAAAGGCGAGCAUCAGUCCCAGGUGGGAGCCAGAUGAAGCAGUACAAAAGAGACAGAAAAAGUCAACGAACAAUCCUCAGUCCCACUCAGUUGCCUUCUUCUCACGGAGCACCUUCCACACAGGGCAGCUAUGGAAUAAGGAGACCCAGUGUGCAGUGAAAACGUGAACUUCCUGCUCCAAAAGCAGGAAAAAAAGUGUGGUCAAAGGAACUAAAAUACAAAGAGUUUUCCUUUCUUCCUCUUAACUUGUCAUUGUGGGGUGUUUUUUUUUAAACUGUUAUUUGAUGUCAUGAGUAAAAACAAAAAACUGAAAUUUUAAAUGAUGGGCAUGAAUUUAUGUUGUACAAUGUCCUUUCUAAAUGUUAACAUAAGAACCUGUAAUUCAUGUGCUGAAUCACGAAAAUUACACAAUCCAUUUUUCCUAGCUCAUACUUGCCUAUGUGUUUUGUUCUUGCCAAAACAGCAGAAAUGCUGCAUAAAUGACUCCACUUCUUUGCAUCUCAUUACUUGAUGUGCGCGCAUUCUACCGACACUCUACUGUCUGAGUCGUUUGAACCAGAGCAACUCCAUCUGAAAUAGAGGCUGGGAAAAAUCAAGCUGAGACCUACUGGGCUACAUUCCCAGAUGGUUAAGGCAUUCUAAGUCACAACGUGAGAUAGGAGGUCUGCAUAAAAUACAGGUCACAAAGACCUUGCUGA